rnacentral:SRP_RNA from 1 species
GCUGGGCAUGGUGGUACCUGCCUAUAACCCCAUACAGCAGGGAGGCUGAGACUGUGGGAUCUCUUGAAUCCAGGAGUUCUGAGAUGCAGUUGAUGAGGGUGAUCAAAUAUCCACACUAGUGUGGUAUUAACAGAGUGAACCUCCAGGAGUAGCAGGCUGGCCAGUUGUCUAAGGAGGGAUGAACCAGCCUAAGCUGAAAACAGAGCAGGAAAAGUUUCCACGCUGAAGAGUAGUGGGAUCAGGUCUGAAUAUCCACUACAUUUUCUAGCAUCAAUGAGAUAGGGAGACCCAGUCUUAA